rnacentral:rRNA from 1 species
AACUGGGCGUAUUUUAUGCUCAGCUUUUUCUGCUCAAUGAUAUAUUAAAUAGCCGCAGUACCCUGACUGUGCAAAGGUAGCAUAAUCAGUUGGCUCAUAAUUGGAGUCUUGUAUGAACGACCGCAUGGGUAUAAUCUGUCUCUAGGCAACACCCAGAAUUUUUUAAGUAAGUGAAAAUACUUACUAGUAUUUAAAAGACGAGAAGACCCUAGAAAUUUUUUUUAAAAAUGCACCGUUGCGUUUUAUUAUUUUGCUGGGGCGGCAGAGUAACAGAGUAACUUACUCUAUGUACUUGACUUUUAUAUGCUGGGGGGUUAUAAUUACUCUAGGGAUAACAGCGUAAUUCUAUUUGAGUUUGCGACCUCGAUGUUGGAUUAGGAAGGGGGGUGUGCAGAAGGCACUUUCCUACGUUCUGUUCGAACGGUGAUUCCUACAUG